rnacentral:ncRNA from 2 species
AUAAAAAAUAUUAAGCAGGCAGGUGUACCAAUAGGUAUACUAGAGCCGGGCUUCUGCUGAAGCAGUGGAUAUAUAAAUCCAUGGGCAUUU